CCUACGGGAGGCAGCAGUGAGGAAUAUUGGUCAAUGGACGAGAGUCUGAACCAGCCAAGUAGCGUGAAGGAUGACUGCCCUAUGGGUUGUAAACUUCUUUUAUAAAGGAAUAAAACGAGGCACGUGUGCCUCUUUGCAUGUAAUUUAUGAAUAAGGAUCGGCUUACUCCGUGCCAGCAGCCGCGGUAAUACGGAGGAUCCGAGCGUUUUCCGGAUUUACUGGGUUUAAAGGGAGCGUAGAUGGGUUGUUAAGUCAGUUGUGAAAGUUUGCGGCUCAACCGUAAAAUUGCAAUUGAUACUGGCAGUCUUGAGUACAAGUGAGGUAGGCGGAAUGCGUGGUGUAGCGGUGAAAUGCUUAGAUAUCACGAAGAACCCCGAUUGCGAAGGCAGCUUACUAGACUGUGACUGACAUUGAUGCUCGAAAGUGUGGGUAUCAAACAGGAUUAGAUACCCUUGUAGUC
rnacentral:rRNA from 1 species